AUUGAACGCUGGCGGCAUGCCUUACACAUGCAAGUCGAACGGCAGCACGGGGGCAACCCUGGUGGCGAGUGGCGAACGGGUGAGUAAUACAUCGGAACGUGUCCUGUCGUGGGGGAUAACUAGUCGAAAGAUUAGCUAAUACCGCAUGAGAUCGAGAGAUGAAAGCAGGGGACCGCAAGGCCUUGCGCGAUUGGAGCGGCCGAUGUCGGAUUAGCUAGNGGCGGGGUAAAGGCCCACCAAGGCGACGAUCCGUAGCUGGUUUGAGAGAACGACCAGCCACACUGGGACUGAGACACGGCCCAGACUCCUACGGGAGGCAGCAGUGGGGAAUUUUGGACAAUGGGGGCAACCCUGAUCCAGCCAUGCCGCGUGUGUGAAGAAGGCCUCGG
rnacentral:rRNA from 1 species